rnacentral:rRNA from 1 species
GACGAACGCUGGCGGCGCGCUUAACACAUGCAAGUCGAACGGAAAGGCCUGCUUUCCCUUGUGGAUUGCGGGUACUCGAGUGGCGAACGGGUGAGUAACACGUGAGUGAUCUGCCCCCAACUUGGGUAUAAGCCUGGGAAACUGGGUCUAAUUCCCGAUAGGACUGCAGGGUGGUGCCUGUGGUGGAAAACGAUUUUCUAGUGGUUGGGGAUGAGCUCGCGGCCUAUCAGCUUGUUGGUGGGGUAAUGGCCUACCAAGGCGGCGACGGGUAGCCGGCCUGAGAGGGUGGACGGCCACAUUGGGACUGAGAUACGGCCCAGACGCCUACGGGAGGCAGCGGUGGGGAAGAUUGCACAAUGGGCGGAAGCCUGAUGCAGCGACGCGGCGUGGGGGAUGACGGCCUUCGGGUUGUAAACUCCUUUCGACCGCGAGGAAGCCACCUGGUUGGAAGGGUGGUGACGGUAGUGGUAGAAGAAGCACCGGCUAACUACGU